rnacentral:rRNA from 1 species
CGGAGGGUGCAAGCGUUAUCCGGAUUUAUUGGGUUUAAAGGGUGCGCAGGCGGGGCUUUAAGUCAGUGGUGAAAUCUCUUCGCUUAACGAAGAAACUGCCAUUGAUACUGAAGUUCUUGAAUCUAGUUGACGUUAGUGGAAUGUGUCAUGUAGCGGUGAAAUGCUUAGAUAUGACACAGAACACCGAUUGCGAAGGCAGCUAACGAGGCUAGUAUUGACGCUCAGGCACGACAGCAUGGGGAGCAAACAGGAUUAGAUACCCUGGUAGUCCAUGCCGUAAACGUUGAUCACUCGACAUUGGCGAUAUACUGUCAGUGUCCAAGCGAAAGUGUUUAGUGAUCCACCUGGGGAGUACGCUCGCAAGGGUG